GUUGAAAUCCAUCUCUUAAUAGUGUUAACGUUACAGAAAAUUAAUUUAAAAAUAAUUUUAAAUACUAGAUGACACACGAGGCCUUCUACCGUGUUCUCCUCUACUCUAAGACUCAGCUGUUAUGCUAAAUUGCCGUGAGACACUUAACAAGGACUUCCGAAGAACAAGUGUAUCACCACCCCAAGUAACGUUCCCGUGGAAUUUACUGCUGUUUGUGGGAUAACGUCGGGUGUCUCCAACUUGUUGCUUCAGCAUCAUCUCCAGUCGAGGACUUGGUUCCCUGUACAAUGUUGAGUUUUCUCCGCCGGACCUUGGGCCGGCGGUCAAUCCGCAAGCAUGCUGAGAAAACCAGACUCAGGGAAGCACAGCGAGCCACAACUCAUAUCCCAGCAGCAGGGGAUGCAAAGUCUAUCAUCACCUGUCGAGUGUCUCUAUUGGAUGGAACAGACGUCAGUGUUGAUUUGCCGAAAAAAGCUAAAGGCGAGGAGUUGUUUGACCAGAUCAUGUAUCAUCUGGAUAUUGUUGAAAAGGAUUACUUUGGGCUACGUUUCAUGGAUUCUGCACAAGUGGCGCACUGGCUGGAUGUCACAAAGGGCAUUAAAAAACAAGUAAAAAUUGGACCACCUUACUGUUUGCACAUGAGAGUGAAGUUCUACUCCUCAGAGCCUAACAACCUUCAUGAAGAAUUAACCCGAUACCUCUUUGUUUUGCAGCUGAAGCAAGAUGUACUGAGUGGCAAGUUGGAAUGUCCUUUUGACACAGCUGUGGAGUUGGCUGCCUUCUCUUUGCAAGCUGAGUUAGGUGACUGUGACCCAGCGGAGCACACUCGAGACUUGGUGUCAGAAUUCCGAUUUGUCCCAGACCAGACAGAAGACAUGGAGCUCGCUAUCUACAGCCAUUGGAAGGAAUGCAGGGGACAGAUGCCAUCCCAAGCUGAGAUUAACUAUCUGAAUAAGGCAAAAUGGCUAGAAAUGUAUGGCGUGGACAUGCACAGAGUAAAGGCUCGAGAUGGCAAUGAAUACAGUCUAGGGCUUACCCCCACUGGGGUUCUAGUAUUUGAGGGUGAAGCCAAGAUAGGCCUGUUUUUUUGGCCGAAGAUAACUCGUCUGGACUUCAAGAAAAACAAGUUGACUCUUGUAGUGGUAGAGGAUGAUGAACAGGGAAAAGAACAGGAACAUACAUUUAUGUUCCGUAUGGACCAUCCCAAGGCUUGUAAGCACCUGUGGAAGUGUGCUGUUGAACAUCAUGCAUUCUUCCGCCUGAGGGGACCUGUUCAGAAGGGCUCCGCCCGUUCUGGCUUCAUUCGUAUGGGUUCUCGGUUUCGCUACAGUGGAAAAACUGAAUACCAGACUACUAAGGCCAAUAAAGCUCGGCGAUCAGCGUCUUUUGAGCGUAGGCCCAGCCGACGCUACUCACGAAGGACCAUGCAGAAUAUGGCUUCUAAGAAAUUUCAAAACACCUUCAAUAAUGGCUUAAACCCAAGCAAAGACAGAAAGUCCUGUCCGUCCUGGAUGGCCAUGCCAGUUGUGACUGGAUCACCUGAAACCCAGGAGUCAUGGGAGUCUGAAGCCCUCCCCAAUAUUCCAUGUAGUGAUCAAUCAGAGAAAAGCUCAAUUCUAGCAGUCAACAAACUGCAGUCAAUUGAAGUAAUGGAAACACUCUUCAAUGAAGUCAAGGUGUCCGCUCCCAUAGUCACAACUGGCCAAACAGAGGAGGCAGGCUUGACUGUUGUCUUGGAGGAUUGUCUUUCCUUCACGGACACGAGUGCAUGCCUGAAGCAAAUGGACAUAGAAAGCAUUCCACACUCUUCUCCAGCUCAGUCUGCAGUUGCCAGCAGUAAUGCUCCAAGCAACCAGGAGGACAUAGUGAGAAGGUCUGCUGAAUCUCAGACUACUAUAAAUAGUAGUGUGAUGACCAGGCCCCAAGAUGACCACAAAUGCUUGGGUCUCAAAGGACAGGCUGAGACUACCUUGAAGGAGGAAGAUGAUGUUACUGGAAUUGAGAAAAAUAUAAGCCACAGAGACAUUGUGUCCAGGGUUGAACCUGAGACUGACAGCCUCAUUUUAACUGAUGCACAAAUUCCUUUAGAAUCUGUAAACACGGCCCUCUUCAUGAAGGAGAAACCAGAUGAAUGGGACAUGCAGGCAACCACCCAGACUGAGAACCUGAUAGAUUUUACAGACUCCACUCCUGUUGUACAGCCUAAGCCUUUGAUCUCUCCACGAUGGAUCAUCCCAACACCUGCUCCUGGCACAUUCACUAAUGGUUUGACUGGCCAUGAUUGUACAGUGGAGACAUCCCUCUUGCGUCAAGAAGUGUUUCCGUUGACCACACUAACAACUCUAUCUAAUACCCAUGUCCAAUCCAGCAGCUAUCUAGGCCCUCAACCCAAGGACGAUGACCACAAGCCCAUGGGACUUCUAACAACAGACCUCUAAGAUCACAAAAGCACUCAGAAAUGUACAUGUUUUUAAGACCACCAUUCUGUUUUCAGACAGCCUCACAAACUACUCAUAGUUUAUUUUUAUAUGUAGUCCAUUGGGCUAGUCCACUAUAUUGUAACAAUUCUCUUCACUGUUCCUUUUGUAUAAGUUACUUCAAGUAUUCACAUGUCGGACCACCUUUACAUUGUCAUUAACACUGGUGAUGCUAUGUGUAAGCUCAUAUGUUCUGUCUUGAUUCUAUUGGCUGUAAUGUUGAGUUGUAAUCAACUGACAAGUUGUACGCAAGCAUUUUCUUUCCUUAUAUUUUGUGUUGUUUUUAAACUUUUAUUUUGCCUUAUGUAGCUGUACUUGCUGGAAUUAUGAAUAGUAUGUAAAUUGUCUUGCAUACCAAAUGCAACAUGCUGCACUGGUCUUGAAUUUCAGUGGUAUGAAUGUACUGUUGAGAGGCACCUCACAAGAAUCAGCUAUUUUCUUUUACCUGAAAGGACUCUAACUUUACAUUGAUAUUGUCUUCUGAAACAAAUGGAGCCCAAUGACGCAAAGGCUGAAGUCUGUGGAUUAUCCCAGUUAAGGAGCUGUAACACCUAAUCGAGAUUAAAACAAAAAAGGCUUGAAAUAUGUCACUUUAUAUGUAAUGAAUCUAGAAUAUAUCCAAGUUUCACUUUUUGAAAUAAACUGUGGGGGAAUUUUACUUUUCCACGAUAUUCCAAGCUUGAGAUACAUCUGUAUUUGUUUUAUUAUUGAAAUUAGAUCCAGGGAUAUGAAAUGGGAACUAAGUAUAAUCUCAAUACUUGCCAUUGUGUCUGAUGCAGGUAACCAUUGAAGCCACACUGAAGUUCUUCCAUAAUGCUGUUUUUAUUUCUGUUUUUCUCUUGGUCUUGCAGGUGCUUUUGAUCCAUAUGAAAUGACUUACCUGAAACAGUACUAGAAUUGUCGCCUUCUUUGAUCGACUUAAUGUAUUCUAGAGGAAUUCCUGUGAACAAUCUGGGAUAUUCUUUAAGGUGAAGUUCAUUGUAGCCUGCUCCAGUGCUGGAAAUGCUAGUUUUGUAGACUGUCUAAAUGGUCUAGGUACUCUUAAGGGUAUAAAACAACAAAAUGGAAUCUGGUAGUUAUAGAGUCUAAAAAGCAAAGCUCUACAUGUUAUCUGUUCACUUUUUAUUAUAAUGCUGGCGAAGCCAAGCGCUAUAUUGUCAUCCCUUGAAUUACUACCCUCGCCCCCUAGUGAGGGUAAGAGAGUAUUGUAAUCGCCUCCGUCCAUCUGUCUGUCUGGGUGCUUCUUAAUAGGAAGCACAUGUUUGUUCUCCUGUUCUGUUCCUGGAGUUUGAACUAGAAAAACUCAACCUUUUUUGAAACAGCAAUCUUACACACUUCCUAACCAUUCGAAAGCAGCAUUCCAUUCAUUCAAAGGGAGGAUUUUUUUAUUCAGUAUUCGAGUGAGGAAAGGGGACAAAUGGAUCUAGUGUUACUCAUGUAAUUUUGAUUAAAUAUGACUCUAUUCAUCUAAAUAUAAAGACUGAAUUCAUUUCUGUCUAUUAAAUCCAAUUUGUGGGAAAUAAUUGUAGUUAUAGUGAACAAAGUAUUAGGCAGGACAGCAUGCAUUCAAAUGCGUUCUGUCGUUCUGUAAUAUUUUACUAAACAAGUCAACGGCAACCUUGAUUAAAAAAAGAAAAAACUUGAAUUGGGAACAUUUCUUAAUAUUAUAUAGCCUAUGUUCUUGACCCAGUCUUGAAUUGAAACCGUAGUUUGUUUGUGAUUGUGAAUGUUUCACAAUUGUUGUCCGAUUCACCAGAAAGGCAUGAUGGGAAAUGCUGUGUGUGCGUGUUGGUAUGUAUGUCUGUGUCUGUAUUUCAAUAACAAGCAAUGAUUGUUAGCCUCUCUCUAGCUGGGUUUCCAUUACUCUGCACAAAACUGAACAGAUAUUUUUAACAAGUCGAUAAAAACUGUGAAUGCUUGUUGUUUUUAUGAAGUAAUACAAUGCAUUAAAUAUGAGUUU